ensembl:lncRNA
CAUGUUUCAGUUACACUCCAUCACCAAUAUUACAGCAAAAGCAGUUACAAAAGCUGCUAGUUUCUUAUACAGGAGGGAACAUGCAACAUGUUGUUCGGUGCUGGUUUGGUUUCAACUCAUAUGAAUUAAAGGCCUAAAUAGGGCAGCAUUGCACCAUCUAUGAUCCAUCUAUAACCAUCUCACAUGCAUAAAUAAUCAUGGAACUGUCUACUUAGACACACAUUUACCCAUUUCACCCAAAAAGAAAACAGAACAUAAAAACAAACAAACAACAAAAACAAUGACCAGGAUGGAUCUGGGCAAUAACUAUAGAUAUUUGCAACAUGUUUUUAUACAACCCCCUUUUUUUCAUUCAACAAAGUUCCCAACUGUUAAAUAAUUUUUUUUUUUUAAAAACACCUAAAAAUAUCUAUAUAUUUUUGCUUUUCUACCUAAAACUCUGAUCGAAAGAAUAUAUAAAUAUGACGCUUUUUUGAUACAGUUAUGGUACUUGACAGUUUCCAAACCUUGGUGGAAGAGACAUAUGUUAGCUGGUGCUACAAAAAGUAUUCACAUUCAACACACAUUAGUGUGUUGAAUGUAAACCAGCUAGAAGGCAGUUGAGAAGUGUGAGAAAAAAACAAAAUAUAUUUCCCUCUGCUGUAUUAAACUAGUCAUGGACACAGUAUUGUACAGCAAUAAUAUGUUGGUUUUAAAAUGACAUGUUUUCAGUAUGGCUUUGCAUAGAUGUAGCUGUAUAUUGGUCAAAAUAACACGGCAGCCAAAAGUGCAGAAAAUGAAGACAUUAGCUGUGCACUAAUCAAACUUUGUCUUUCCCAAUACUGUCAGAUAAACUGUCAGCACUAUGUUAUGAUCUCAAGCCACUCCUUUCACAUUUAAAAAAUGUGAAUAAUGCUGAUUCACUUUUGGAUAACACACUGUCAGCACUUUUCACUGGAUUGAGAUCAGCUCCCCAGAAUAGCAGCCGUCCUUCUAUUUCCAGCAUCUUCUACUAUCCAAGUAGGCAAUCUACUACUACCAAGUAGUAGUAGAUGUACUACAUUAUGCCACUUUUCAUUUGUAACCAAACCUGACAAACUUGGGCAGGAGCAUAUUUUAUUUUAUUUUUUUUUUAUUUUAGUAUCCAUUAUUAAUCCCACGAGGGGAAAUUCUGAUUUUCGCAUCUCUCCCCAGUUGGGGGAGUCAGAGCGACGGGUCAGUCGCGGUACAGCGCCCCUGGAGCAGGAAGGGUUAAGGGCC